rnacentral:rRNA from 1 species
AGUGGAAGCGUCUGGAAAGGCGCGCGAUACAGGGUGACAGCCCCGUACACAAAAGCGCAUGUGCUGUGAGCUCGAUGAGUAGGGCGGGACACGUGGUAUCCUGUCUGAAUAUGGGGGGACCAUCCUCCAAGGCUAAAUACUCCUGACUGACCGAUAGUGAACCAGUACCGUGAGGGAAAGGCGAAAAGAACCCCGGCGAGGGGAGUGAAAAAGAACCUGAAACCGUGUACGUACAAGCAGUGGGAGCACAGGUUUACCUGUGUGACUGCGUACCUUUUGUAUAAUGGGUCAGCGACUUAUAUUCUGUAGCAAGGUUAACCGYAUAGGGGAGCCGKAGGGAAACCGAGUCUUAACCGGGCGUUAAGUUGCAGGGUAUAGACCCGAAACCCGGUGAUCUAGCCAUGGGCAGGUUGAAGGUUGGGUAACACUAACUGGAGGACCGAACCGACUAAUGUUGAAAAAUUAGCGGAUGACCUGUGGCUGGGGGUGAAAGGCCAAUCAAACCGGGAGAUAGCUGGUUCUCCCCGAAAGCUAUUUAGGUAGCGCCUCGUGAAUUCAUCUCCGGGGGUAG